rnacentral:rRNA from 1 species
GAUCCUGGCUCAGAACGAACGCUGGCGGCAGGCUUAACACAUGCAAGUUGGAACGGGAUUUGUGUGGUGCUUGCACCAUAUAAUGAGAGUAGCGCACUGGUGAGUAACACGUGGGAACGUGCCUUUUAGUGGGGGAUAACAUCUGGAAACGGAUGCUAAUACCGCAUACGCCCUGAGGGGGAAAGAUUUAUUGCUAAGAGGUCGGCCCGCGGUAGAUUAGGGCAGUUGGUGGGGUAAAGCCUACC